rnacentral:rRNA from 1 species
ACACAUGCAAGUCGAACGAGCGAGAGAGAGCUUGCUUUCUCGAGCGAGUGGCGAACGGGUGAGUAACGCGUGAGGAACCUGCCUCAAAGAGGGGGACAACAGUUGGAAACGACUGCUAAUACCGCAUAAGCCCACGGCUCGGCAUCGAGCAGAGGGAAAAGGAGCAAUCCGCUUUGAGAUGGCCUCGCGUCCGAUUAGCUAGUUGGUGAGGUAACGGCCCACCAAGGCGACGAUCGGUAGCCGGACUGAGAGGUUGAACGGCCACAUUGGGACUGAGACACGGCCCAGACUCCUACGGGAGGCAGCAGUGGGGAAUAUUGCACAAUGGGGGAAACCCUGAUGCAGCGACGCCGCGUGGAGGAAGAAGGUCUUCGGAUUGUAAACUCCUGUUGUUGGGGAAGAUAAUGACGGUACCCAACAAGGAAGUGACGGCUAACUACGUGCCAGCAGCCGCGGUAAAACGUAGGUCACAAGCGUUGUCCGGAAUUACUGGGUGUAAAGGGAGCGCAGGCGGGAAGACAAGUUGGAAGUGAAAUCUAUGGGCUCAACCCAUAAACUGCUUUCAAAACUGUUUUUCUUGAGUAGUGCAGAGGUAGGCGGAAUUCCCGGUGUAGCGGUGGAAUGCGUAGAUAUCGGGAGGAACACCAGUGGCGAAGGCGGCCUACUGGGCACCAACUGACGCUGAGGCUCGAAA